rnacentral:lncRNA from 1 species
AGCAAAAGCACUUCCAGAAAAAGGGACAGUCACUAGGUCUGAAACUCGCCCAUCGGCAAGUUGGAGCCCAGCCUGGCCGAGCAGUGAGACCAGGUUUCAACCAGAGGGGUGGUGCUGGGCUGUGAGGGUAGAGCUCAGGAAGAAGAGAAAAGAAAAAACUAGGAGUCCACCAGAGACCGCCUCGCAGUAGAUGCCGGGAAAAGUUAAGCGUGAAGAGUAUACAGGACCACGGCUCGUGAGUAGUUGCCCUAUCUCUGCGUGGCCCUGUGCGGCUCAGCGGGGCCGAGGCUCGCACAUAACCAGCGGAGGGACGCUCUGGUCAGGAAGGCGGGCCGAAUCAUCGGAGUCUGUGGCUUCUGCGUGGCCGGGACGGGCGCCUCGGCCCAGCCGCCGGUAAACAGCGGCUGACCGAGGAGCAACCACCUCGCGCGAAAGCCGCACCUGACCACGAGCGGCCCAGCCUCGAAGCAAACUCGCCGGCUGCGCCAGAACCAAACGGCGCACGCCGCUUCUCUCGCCUAGCUGAAAACCUCGCGAGAGCUGCAGAAAACACCCAGCUCCGACCUCCAGCCCUUGCACCUGGAAAACCAUCCGCUUUCAGCUUCGCUCAACUCAUCGCGGCCUCGCCCCUAUGCAGCACCCGGCCUACACUUUUUGUCCCACAACUCAAACGGUCAACAGCACAGUAAGUGUGACCUCACAUAAUGCCUCACUGACGUAAAAACGCAGAAGAAUAAGCUACAGCUACAUACAGUUUCGAUUGUGCCAAGCACGUCGACAGAAACUCAACUUACUCAGGUGUAACAAGUCCAAAAAGCACAAAACCGAACCUGCUCAGCCAGCCUCCGCAGACUAUAGUGGGCAGCACGGCACUCCCUGGACACCCAGCGACCUUAGCAACUGUUCCUUUACCUUGCUUCCUAAAGAUACCCGGUCUCAAACCCUCAGCAAAACUGUCCAUGAAAAACGUGUUCCGCUCUGGAGUGGAUAGAAACUCUCGUUCCUCCCGAGUCUUUGGUCUCUUCACCUCGUAAACUGCCCAUUCCUACCAACAGACGGCCGCGCACAGCACACCUUUAAGGCGAGCGAGCCGUAGGCCACCUGUGAAAUUAGGCCCGCGUAAACACUUCUUAACAUAGUCCCAUCUCCGACACCAGCUUCUAAAGAACGAGCAAGUCGAAGUGGGGAAAAAGACGCCUGACGUUUCUCUCUCACACAGCGGAAAACGGUAAGUAUGAGUUGUUAUGCUCGCCUCGACCCAAACCCUGGAACCAGAC